CAUCACUAGCAAGACACAACUAAUAGAAGUUAAUAUUUUGGCUAACUUUUCAAAAUAUUACCUAUAUUAUUUAAUUAAGCUAAUUAAAUAAAUUUUUCUCUUUACAGUUAAAAGUUCACCAGUAUCAUUCAAUCUUCUGUCUGUUAAAGUGUCACUUGUACAUGCCAAAGCCCCUUCUACUGGUUCAGUUUAGGACGACAUCAUGAUAAAGCUUCAGGUAGUAGAGACACUUGCACUUCUUUGUAUUGCCACAUAACCUGUAACUGUUCUCUCUGGUGUAAGAUAUUUUUUACCAGGUAAAUGCAAGUAACUUACAAUACCAAUUGAUCCCUCUAUAAAUACAUUACUUGUUACUUUCUCUACACACCAAAUAUAAGAAAGUAAGAAUGACAGCUGUCUGUAUACCAGAGUUUGUAUAGUGAAUGCAAACUGACUCAGACUGUAUAGAAUUAUUCAGUGUUCCCCACAAUGUAGAACCUCAGAAGUUAAAAGAAAAUGCAUGCGCAUGUGUGUAUGUGUUCUGCUUCUGGGCUGUGUAACUGUUUUAAAAAUAAAUCUUUUGCAAUUUUGUGAAGAUUCUCAGAAACCAUGAAAAUGUUGGUAUUUAUGAAAAACUGCUCCAAGGCUGCUAGGAAUAUUAUUAUGAGUUCAAACUUUAUUCUCCAUGCUCAUUAUCAUUUGAAAUAAAUAUACUCGUUAAAUUUUCAUAAAUUCCAUCUUCUGCCUGUUGUUUUCCUGAUUCUGGCUUUUUUAUCCCAUCAGCUUUGAAGGCUGCAUUUGAUUUCUUCUUCAGAAGAUGGAGAUUUUUCAAGCAUUUUCACAGCACAUUCCCUGAUCAGAGACUAGCUCCAGCUGAAAUGUAUGGCUUUAUUUAUCCCAUCAGGUUCUUACUAUAUCUGCCUGAAAAACUGACAGAGCCACUUAACAGAGACUGCAGCUGCCACAAUAUAAAUGUGAUGAAUGAACAAAAGAGUUUCAUAUGGAUCUUCAAAGGUCUGUUUUUCAUGGAUUAGGAAAUAUCUUGGCUUGCACUUUGACUGGCAAUAAAGCUGAAGUUUUCAAAUUGGUUGCAUCCAUUACAACAAUAAAAAAAAAAAUUGAGAAGUCUCAAGUCUUUUCAUGGAAACUAUCAUUCAAACUCAUUGAAAUAAACCUUUCCAUUUGUAUCUUGGUUAAUCAGAUAUUUGCAAAUGAAUAUUCAGAUGUAGUUAUUAUAGGGCAUUCAUCUCUUUGUUUGGUCAUCAGUUUGUUCUACUUUAACUCUUAAGCUUGUGAAGGAGGGAUCAUAGAAUCAGACCAACUACUUAAGGUUACUUCUCACUGGAGACCAAUUUAAUGGCACCUGAAGCCAGAACUCUCUGAGGAAGACCUAAUUUUGCCUAGAUACAGUUUUUUCAUAGAGGAAUUGAAUUUUUAUCCUCUCUUCCCUUGGAAGUCCUAUGUUUGCUUCAACUACAUCAUCACAUCUUUUUUUAAUUUCUUUAAAAUCACACUGCUAAUUUUAAUCUGAGGUUUUAUUUUUCCUUUUUCUUUUUUUUCUUUUUUUUUUUUUUUUUUCAGAAAAGAGAAAUGAUAACUGGGAAUCUUAGUCCUGCCUUUAUUUUUUCCCAAGAGAAAUUCAGAAAAUUCAUUUUUUUCUUCUUAAUCUAAAAAUUUUAGACAAUCAUUUGGAACCACAGAAACUGUCAAGAAAAAUUUGCUGACUUUAAUGUCUUUAUUAUUGUAGAACCUGAGAUAUGGAUAAUUUUCCGUACUACAGCACAAACUUUCAUCUAUCUUUAUAGACAUAACUGUAUAAAAUUUAUGGGCUUGGUAUUCUUUCCAUUUAUGACUGACAUGUAAUUUGCUGCUUCUUUUCUGUUGCAGAUCUACAUCUGCUUUCCAUCAAAACUUGUUGUUGUGACAAAGGAAGGGAUAUAGCAUAUAAAAAAAUAUUUUAAUUGUCAGUCCAUGUAGUCAGAGAAAUAUUCAUUCUCCACAAUUAUGAGGCUUAAUGGAGGGUCACAGUUCUGCGUUCAAGUGUUUUUGUAACAUGUUUGAACACUUUAAUCUUUUCCAGGAACAAAUAAAUAACUUUUUUAUCCUGUUUUUUUCUUUUUGAACAAUGCUAAUUUAGGGGUGCAGAAA